CUGCGUGCUGCAUCCUGGCUCCUGGCGUCCUGCACGUGCUAUUGGAGAGCCCGGAGCCAGGCUGCUGUUCUCCAGGCAG
ensembl:miRNA